GACAGCGGCUGCUCAGGCACCCGCACGGACCCCGUCUCGGACACCCGGGCAGGGCUUUUUCAAUUUCAAACAGCUGCGAAUAAUGAGAUGCCUUUCAUUCGGGGUUGGGUUCUUUGCCCGUUAUUCCUUCGAGGUGAGAUGCAAGACACGUGGAGAGGAGGGAACCACUAGAUCAGGUUCAGUAAUAACCUUUUUUGGUUUACUGUAUAUCUACAUUUGGUCACAUAAAUGUGCUUACUAACACA
rnacentral:lncRNA from 1 species